rnacentral:rRNA from 1 species
UACGAAGGGGGGCUAGCGUUGUUCGGAAUCACUGGGCGUAAAGGGCGCGUAGGCGGCCGUGCACGUGGGGUGUGAAAGCGCUCGGCUUAACUGAGCGAGGCCAUCCCAUACGGCGCGGCUCGAGCCGUCCAGAGGCCGGUGGAAUUGCCGGUGUAGUGGUGAAAUUCGUAGAUAUCAAGCAGAACACCUGCGGCGAAGGCGGCCUUCUGGACGAUGACUGACGCUGAGACGCGAAAGCGUGGGGGAGCAAACAGG